rnacentral:tRNA from 1 species
CAAGUUAAAUUCUAGGAAUAAUUAUUAUUUACAUUAAUGAUUUGAUUGUGCAAUUCGGUCUAACUUGA